rnacentral:rRNA from 1 species
GAUGAACGCUGGCGGCGUGCCUAAUACAUGCAAGUCGAGCGAACGGACGGGAAGAUUUCUUUCCUGAUGGUAGCGGCUGACGGAUGAGUGAAACGUGGAUAAACAACUUAUCAAACUGGGUUAAAUUCGGGGAAACGCAGCUGAUACCACAUGAUAUUUCGAACGGCACGGUUCAAAAGCGUAAGACGGUCUUCCUGUAUCUAUCAGAUGAAUCCGGGCUGCAUUAUCUAGUUGGUAAGGUAACGGCAUACCAAGGAAACGAUGCAUAGCCGACCUGAGAGGGUGAUCCGCCACACUGGAACUGAGACACGGUCCAGACUCCUACGGGAGGCAGCAGUGGGGAAUCUUACGCAAUGGGCGAAAGCCUGAUGGAGCAACACCGCGUGAGUGAUGAAGGUCUUCGGAUCGUAAAACUCUGUUGUUAGGGAAGAAGAGAAGCGUAGGUAUCUGUGCACAUCUUGACGGUACCUAAUCAGAAAGCCACGGCUAACUACGUG